GUGAGGUAUGAUUUAAAGGACUAGAACAUCUUUCCUGCUUCCCUCCAAAAUGCUUCACUGUGUUUUGUCAUAUUGCCUGAUAAUUUUGCAUUAGAGAUUUAUCCUUUUGAGAUAUAAAAUGCAGAUAUCUCUGAAAGGGUUUCUUCUGCUUUAGUCAUAUUCAUAACGGCUACUAGUGAACAAAAUAUGUUCACUACAGGAUGAAGGGAAGAUUGCCAACUAGCAAAUCCCUAGGGUCAGUACUGCACCAGAUGUUGCCUAGCAAUUUCCACAAUUUUCUCAGUCUAGUUUGCAAGAAUAAAGAGACUAGAAAUCAAAGAGGUAUGUCACAUAAAGUUGUAAAAUUAGUAUUUAGUCUGUGUAUCCUUUCUGUAUUGAUUUAAAAACAAAGAAAAUAGAAGGUUAUUAGGUGAGUUUGGCAUGGUUUAAUUGAGUUUGGUGGUUUUUCCCUAGGAUUUUUAAAGCCAAAAUUUGAAUGAGGUACAACAUCCAGUUGUGUGAAAAUCUGAGGGAGGGACUUUUCAGGCAGGGUAAAAGGAAGUAUCUAGGUCCCAAGGUGGUAAAGAACUGGACAGGAUGGAGACUAGGUAAUUUUCACUUUCAUUAUUUUAUGCAUUCAAUUAUGCUACCACGUAGGUUAGUCGCUAAGGCCUUCUACAAGUUGAACCUUGCUUAAAAUUUAAUUCUUUUCUUACCCCUUCUCACCAUGUUCCAGGCUAUUCUGUACCUCUGUGACUUUGUUUGAUAGUUGUUUCUUUUGCUUAAUAGCCUCUCAUUUAUUCAGUCUUGCCAGAUAAACUGUGACUCAUCUCUUAAAAUCCACUUCAAGCAUUCUUUUGAGGAAGCUUCUCACUAUUUGCUGCCCACCAUCCAUAGAAUUGCUCAGCCUUUGUGCUUCUAUUGAUUUAUGCACUUGAGACACUGCUUUGUAAUUACUUAUUUACAUGUCUGCUUUUAUCACCAGUAAGUUUCUUUAGGACAGAGACAUUAUUAAUUCAUAUCUGGGUACCUAUGGUCCAGCAUAGUAGUAGUACUACAUAGAACAUAGUACUAGUAGUAUUUAAUAGAUACUCAAAUCAUUGUUCAGUGAGUGAAUGCAUGAGAUAUCUUUUUGCUGUUAUGAUUUAACUAAAGUAACAUUGCUCUUCAGAACAGUUUCCAUGACAUAUUUAUUCUAGUUAAUAGCCAUAAAUUAACUCUACACUACAGCCAUAGUCUAUAGUCACUAGAUCAUUUAUCAUUAUGUCAUUUCAAAACAGUAAAAUGUUCAGUAUUAUCCUUCAUAUUCAAACUGUGCUCAUGGAAAUAUUGUGAAAAGAUUGAAUAAUUUUUGACACACAGUUUUCAGUUUUUCCACUUAGCACACUUUAGUAGACUUUCAGCCUUUUAAAUAUGCUAGCAUUGAGAACCAGGUACUACUUAAUGAAAAUCAUGAUUUAAUAGUGUGUUUUAUGUGGUUUGUUUGUUUCUCUUUGUAAGUUAGAGUGGUAGAGUUAUGUUUGAGGCAUUCAUUACAUUUUAUUUACAAGAACUCAAUGUUCUUUUUUGUAACCUGAGGGCUUUUUCAAUUCCUAAAAGCCUAGCAGAAGUCAAGUAGCUGGAUGACAAGCUGGGAGGGAGAAAUUAUGGGGGAUGUAGCAAGAAAUAGAAGGAGGAUGCAGACCAUUUGACAGGCCAAGUCAAAGGUAGUUUCUGUCAGGGAACAAUUACAGCAUCAUACUUUAAGAGAUGACAGAAAAACGACAUUAACGUAACCAUGCAAAAUUGGAAAUACAUAUUUGGAGCAUUAUUUUCCCCAGAAAGUUUCCAAUGCAUUGGUACUUGCUCAGUGUCUAAGGAGAUAAGUGUCUAAGUGACUGGCAUUUGUUCCAGGCUUUAUCCGUCGUCAUGAAGAGGCUUUUCACCUGCAGGUUCUCCUUGAAGCUAUUGGUGAUACAGUCACACAAUAACACAUUUACUAAAUGAACUAAGCAAAUGAAUAAAACUGUAAGCCCUUAGUAUCAGUCCCUUUAUUUAUUUAUUUUUAAAGUUUGUGUCAGUAUGAACUAGAUUCUUAUUUAAUGGAUUAGAAUACUGAUAUUAUUUAUUUUCAUGCUCAAAUUUUCCCAGAAUUGGCCCAUAGGAGCUCCUUCAAGAUGGUUCAGUUAGCCUUUUAAUGCGUCCCCCUGGUUAUUUGAACACUUUCUUGCUCCCUGAUAUGACAAAAUGUUUCAAAUCUCCCCCCUCCAAUGAACUCUAUUUUUUUUUAAGUGAAGAACAGUAUUUAAAAAAUGAGGAUAUAGUGAUUUGUCUUGUUUGUUGUCAUUGGUAGGCCAUUUCUUCUAAGCUCUUUCAAUGGAAAGACCUAGGAAAUGUAUAUAGAGAUAUUUCAAAUAUAUUUAUAUGAAAUAUAUUAAAUAUACAAGAAAAAAACUCAAAUCAUCAGCUUAUUAUGAACAGAACAUUAACAUUUUUGAAGGAAAAUAUUUGUUAUCUACAUAGAAAAGGUCCAGAAAAUAAUAACAUUGAUCUUGAACAAAGUACACGCAAGUAGAUUUCAUUAAUAGCUAAAAAUAAUGCAUCUUAGAAUCUUAGCUAUUGGGGGGAGACAGUAUCUAGAACUGUGAUGUAGAAUUUAUGUGGUAGACCCUUGCAGUGUUAUUUUGGAUCUCUGUGGAAUAGAAAAAUAAGAUCAGGGGACAAAAGCUUGCCCUAGUCCUUCCCAGUACUUUUAACUACAUGGAGAAAAGAUGUUGAGCAUUCAUUACAAUCAGAAUCUUUAAAUGGCUACAUAUUUGUGAGAGGUGUAUAAACAAACAAGGAAGUAAUGACACUAACUACAUGGGAAUGAUACUAGUGUCUUCUCUUGGAUAACUACUAUAGCUAUAGAUGCAAUGCUAACCGUUGCACUUAGCAACAACUUGACUAUUAUUUGGCUACUAACAUGAAUAACUUCUUAGAAGUUGAGGAGGAGCUGUAAACAUCUAAGUAAUCAGAAUUUGCAUCAUAAAAUCCUGAACUGCGAAUCCAAAUUCUUAUAGAGUUUUCUCCCAGCACAUCAUGGAGGACUUUUCUCUAAUAAUCUGGCUCUCCUAUUACACUGAAAACCAGAGCUUCUCUAUUUGGCUUACUAAUUCCAAAGAUUAAAUCAUUAGAGGUAGGAGCUUAUUUUUACUGAUGUAUUUGCUUUUCUAGAAAAAUUAAUUAUAGUCUGAUAAAGUUUGUUUUAUGUAGCAUAAUAAAACAAAGAUUCUCAUUUUAAUAUACACUUGCUAAUUAUUGCAUUUAGUAAUUUAAUGACCUGAAAAUAAUGUAAAAAAAUGUGUGUUUUCAUAUAAUACUUAUGUUAUUUUUAACUUAAGAAGUCAUAAAAAAUAACAUAAAUACAUGAAGAAGCCACAGCUAUAACAACAACAAAAAAAAAAACAAUUUGACCAGUGUUAGAAGGCAAAAUUAACUAACAGUUAUUAAGGAGUUACUAUGUACUAUAAACCACAUGUUUUGCAUUUGUUUAAUCAUCAAACAAUACAAUUACUAGAACUGUUUUAUCCCCAUUUUAUAGUAGAAGAAACUGGAUUACAUAUCUUAUUAAACUUGGUCAACUUCUUGAAACUUGUAACUAAUACAUUAUCAAAAUAGAACUCAAACCCACAAACCCACCUUAGAUCCCAUUCUCUUUUGAGUGAAUUACAUAAAGCUUCGCAUAAAAUGCAUCACAUAAAUCACACUACCCCUGGCCAGUAACAGUUUUGCUAAAUUGAUUAUUUUCCUUUUUGUCUGUAAAAAAAGGAUGUUGCUCUGUCUUACCCAUUCUCAAUGAUUUAAAUAAUCAAUAAAUGUGUUCACCACAUAGAAUAGUUUUUUUUUGUUGUUCUAUAUUCAUGACUGCAAAAUAACUAUGACAGUUAUACUUUGAACUUAAUUUUGGUGUUAUUUGUUAAAACACAUCUGUAUACAUCUGAAAAAUACCAGUUGUGGCAACAUAGAGAGCUUAGUUUUGAAAAAUAAGUUAAAUUAUAACUGAAAAUGAACCAAAGAUGCAUAGAGAAGGUGUGGACCACACAUAUGUGGGUAAAAGCUGGCCCACAGUCAUCUUAAAUGGAUUUUAUCCAGAAGGGCUGCCUAAGAGACCACAGGAUACCAACAGAGAGGGUCUGUGAAGAGAUGGACUGCUGAGACCCAAAUCACAGUGAAGUAUAGUUGAGAGAUGUCUACUAAUGAAUGGGGAAAGGAGUAAAUACUCUGAAGAACCCUGCAAGGAAAUGAAACACCCUGCAAGGGAAAAAGACCGAGUCAGCUUUGUCACCUGUCAAACCAGAGAGCAAUCAAUGAUGGCAGCUCACAAAAAUACAAGCAUGCAGGAGCUUUCCAGUGCCCUAACGUCUCCUCCCUCCACCAUCCUGAAACCUGAUGUGGUCAGAAACAGUGCUAAUUAGCAAUUAAAGAGAGGAAGAAAGACAAGUUCAGAAAAUAGAGGAGUAUCUAUCCAAGCCAUACUGUAUUCUACAGGCUGCCUUCGCUUGCAUGGCUGAUUAGCCUACAGCACAACUGAAGAGAGGGAGGCCGUCUUGUCUCCAUGAUUGCACAAACAUGAAGAUAAAAGCUUCCCUGUGAGGAUGAUGGAGCAAAAUGAUACAAGGGGCCCAGACUCCCUUCCUUCAGACUUCUUGUUAUGUGUGGGAAAUAAAAUGAUAUUACAAGGUUAA